GCCAGUAUGGUGGUUAUGACACUCGACUUUUAAUCGAGUGGGCUCGGGUUCGAAUCCCGAAUAAGGCA
rnacentral:tRNA from 1 species